rnacentral:rRNA from 1 species
UGGAAGGGUCUUCCGCAUGGACGAAGUCUGACGGAGCAACGCCGCGUGAGUGAUGAAGGUUUUCGGAUCGUAAAGCUCUGUUGUUAGGGAAGAACAAGUACCGUUCGAAUAGGGCGGUACCUUGACGGUACCUAACCAGAAAGCCACGGCUAACUACGUGCCAGCAGCCGCGGUAAUACGUAGGUGGCAAGCGUUGUCCGGAAUUAUUGGGCGUAAAGGGCUCGCAGGCGGUUUCUUAAGUCUGAUGUGAAAGCCCCCGGCUCAACCGGGGAGGGUCAUUGGAAACUGGGGAACUUGAGUGCAGAAGAGGAGAGUGGAAUUCCACGUGUAGCGGUGAAAUGCGUAGAGAUGUGGAGGAACACCAGUGGCGAAGGCGACUCUCUGGUCUGUAACUGACGCUGAGGAGCGAAAGCGUGGGGAGCGAACAGGAUUAGAUACCCUGGUAGUCCACGCCGUAAACGAUGAGUGCUAAGUGUUAGGGGGUUUCCGCCCCUUAGUGCUGCAGCUAACGCAUUAAGCACUCCGCCUGGGGAGUACGGUCGCAAGACUGAAACUCAAAGGAAUUGACGGGGGCCCGCACAAGCGGUGGAGCAUGUGGUUUAAUUCGAAGCAACGCGAAGAACCUUACCAGGUCUUGACAUCCUCUGACAAUCCUAGAGAUAGGACGUCCCCUUCGGGGGCAGAGUGACAGGUGGUGCAUGGUUGUCGUCAGCUCGUGUCGUGAGAUGUUGGGUUAAGUCCCGCAACGAGCGCAACCCUUGAUCUUAGUUGCCAGCAUUCAGUUGGGCACUCUAAGGUGACUGCCGGUGACAAAACCGGAGGAAGGUGGGGAUGACGUCAAAUCAUCAUGCCCCUUAUGACCUGGGGCUACACACGUGCUACAAUGGACAGAACAAAAGGCAGCGAAACCGCGAGGUUAAGCCAAUCCCACAAAUCUGUUCUCAGUUCGGAUCGCAGUCCUGCAAUCUCGACUGCGUGAAGCUGGAAUCGCUAGUAAUCGCGGAUCAACAUGCCGCGGUGAAUACGUUUCCCGGGCCUUGUCACACCGCCGUCACACCACCAGAGUUUGUACACCCGAGUCGGUCGAGGUAACCUCUUAGGACCCAGCCCCGAAGUGGGACAAUAAAUGAGGU